GGAAAGUUCAUUAACUGGUUGAUUUCCAGAAUUCAAGGACAAAAAGCAAUUCUACAUGCUAAUCACUGACUGGAAUACUGAGUUUUCGGUUUCUUCAACUAAUUGUUAUGUUGGAUCUCUCAGACACAGUACAAGCAUGAACUUUCACAAAGAGCAGGGAAUCAUAAGGCAUCGAUUGGGAAUACAUAAUCAGAAGCAGCUUAAUUUGGUAAGAAAUAACAGCAGCUUUCUGCCUCCAUCCCUGUGGGACAGCAAAGUCUAGAUAUUGCGCUCAAGAAUUAAACAAAAACGGA
rnacentral:lncRNA from 1 species